UAUUUUGAAAUUCAAACCCUAAACGCUAAAAUUCAACUCUAAACCCUAAACCAUCAAUUUUAAACACGAACCCUAAACCCUAAACCAUCAGUCCUAAACCCUAUUUUCUUUUGAAAUACGAACCCUAAACCCUGAAACAUCAACUCCAAACUCUAAACCCUGAAACAUCAAAUCUAAACCCUAAACCCUAAACCCUAAACCUUCAACUCUAAACAAUAAAACAUCAACUCUAAACCCUAAAUCCUAAACUUCAACUCUAAACCCUAAACCCUAAACCAUCAACACUAAACCCUAAACUAUCAACACUAAACCCUAAACCCUAAAAAGUAAACUCUAAACCCUAAAACAUCAACCCUAAACCCUAAUACAUCAACUCUAAACUCUAAAUCCUAAAACCCUAAAUCCUAAACCCUAAAUCCUAAACCCUAAACCCUAAAACCCUAAAACCCUAGAGUUGGUGUUUUAGGGUUUAGAUUUGAAGGUUUAGGGGUUUAGGGUUUACAUUUAUUGUUUAGAGUUGAUGUUUUAGGGCUUAGAUUUGAAGGUUUAGGGUUUGAAUUUCAGAAAAAUAUAGGGUUUAGGGUUUACGUUUAGGGUUUACGUUUAGGGUUUAGAGUUGAUGUUUUAGGGUUUAGAUUUGAAGGUUUAGGGUUUAGAGUUGAUGUAUCGCGGUUUAGGGUUUAGAGUUGAUGUUUCAUGGUUUAGGGUUUAGAGUUCAUGAUUUAGGGUUUAAAGUUGAUGUUUUAAGUUUAGAUUUAGGGUUUAGGGUUUAGAGUUAUGUUUUUGGGUUUAGAUUUGAAGGUUCAUUGUUUAGGGUUUAGAGUUGAUGUUUCGGGGUUUAGGGUUUAGAGUUGAUGUUUCAUGGUUUAGGGUUUAGAGUUGAUGAUUUAGAGUUUAGAGUUGAUGUUUUAAGUUUAGAUUAGUUAAUCACAUUU
rnacentral:lncRNA from 1 species